AUUCUGCCAGGAAUCCAGCUGACCGAAUUACCCACACUUGCCCACCUUAGGCCUUCAUUCGCAGCAGGCAUGUGUGCCUGGGUUUGUUACCAGCAGCCAUUUUCUCACCCUUAAAUGAGGGAUGGGUCUCCCCUUUUCUUUUUCUCAUUUUCCUAGAGGUUACAAGAUUCCUGUUUUUCUCACCAGGAGGAGAGGUCAGCCUCAGUGAGCUCAUAGCAGUCAUACAUUGCCAGUGUUUUUCCUCAAGUGGAAGGAGAAAGGCCUUCAGAAAAAAAAUCGUAUGCAAACCUAGUGCUACCACCAGCAGUAGCUCUGAAUCGAGAUUUUUGGGAGAAUUAGGCUUACUAAAGAUAAACUACAAUAAGUCUCAAGGAAGCAAAUAAUUCUGAUUCUAAUGAGGAAUCCAAGAAUAAAGGCAGCUCUUAAGGUACGGAAGUGAACUGUCUGUGGGUGACUUGCCUGGAUGCCGGCUAUAGCUGCAGCCCCCAAAGUCGAAGCUACCAGAACAGGUUGGAUGAGGAUGGCCCAAAGAUUAUGGAGUUGCUGGCCCCAAAGCAAGUCAGACACUAUGGGAAGUUUGCAUGAAUCA
rnacentral:lncRNA from 1 species